AUCCAGCUGACGAAUCUUACAUAGGACAAAACGUGCGUCCUGGAU
rnacentral:hammerhead_ribozyme from 1 species